rnacentral:rRNA from 1 species
CCUACGGGUGGCAGCAGUGGGGAAUAUUGCACAAUGGGGGAAACCCUGAUGCAGCGACGCCGCGUGAGUGAAGAAGUAAUUCGUUAUGUAAAGCUCUAUCAGCAGGGAAUAAAAAAGAAGGUACCUGAAAAAGAAGCCCCGGCUAACUACGUGCCAGCAGCCGCGGUAAUACUUAGGGGGCAAGCGUUAUCCGGAUUUACUGGGUGGAAAGGGAGCGUAAACGGAAAGGCAAGUCAGAAGUGAAAGCCCAAGGCUCAAACAUGGGACUGCUUUUGAAACUGUCAAACGAGAGUACGGGAGAGGUAAGAGGAAUUCCUAGGGUAGCGGUGAAAUGCGUAGAUAUUAGGAGGAACACCAGUGGCGAAGGCGUCUUACUGGACCGAAACUGACGUUGAGGCUCGAAAGCGUGGGGAGCAAACAGGAGUAGAUACCCUAGUAGUC